rnacentral:rRNA from 1 species
GAUGAACGCUAGCGGCAGGCUUAACACAUGCAAGUCGAGGGGCAGGCACGGGUAGCAAUACCUGGUGGCGACCGGCAAACGGGUGCGGAACACGUACAGAACCUACCUUGAUCUGGGGCAUAGCCCGGAGAAAUCCGGAUUAACUCCCCAUAAUAUAGAUGAGGUGGCAUCACUCGACUAUUAAAAUUUAUUGGAUCGAGAUGGCUGUGCGUCCCAUUAGCAGUUGGUAGGGUAACGGCCUACCAAGGCGACGAUGGGGUAGCUGGUGUGAGGAGCACGACCAGCCACACGGGCACGUGAGACACGGGCCCGACUCCUACGGGAGGCAGCAGUGAGGAAUAUUGGUCAAUGGACGCAAGUCUGAACCAGCCAUGCCGCGUGGAUGAUGAAGGUCUUAGGAUU